AAAAACUCCGGUGGUAUGGGAUGGACCCGCGUCUGAUUAGCUAGUUGGUGGGGUAAAGGCCCACCAAGGCGACGAUCAGUAGCCGACCUGAGAGGGUGACCGGCCACAUUGGGACUGAGACACGGCCCAAACUCCUACGGGAGGCAGCAGUGGGGAAUAUUGCACAAUGGGGGAAACCCUGAUGCAGCGACGCCGCGUGAAGGAUGAAGUAUUUCGGUAUGUAAACUUCUAUCAGCAGGGAAGAAAAUGACGGUACCUGACUAAGAAGCCCCGGCUAACUACGUGCCAGCAGCCGCGGUAAUACGUAGGGGGCAAGCGUUAUCCGGAUUUACUGGGUGUAAAGGGAGCGUAGACGGCAUGGCAAGUCUGAUGUGAAAACCCGGGGCUCAACCCCGGGACUGCAUUGGAAACUGUCAGGCUAGAGUGUCGGAGAGGCAAGUGGAAUUCCUAGUGUAGCGGUGAAAUGCGUAGAUAUUAGGAGGAACACCAGUGGCGAAGGCGGCUUGCUGGACGAUGACUGACGUUGAGGCUCGAAAGCGUGGGGAGCAAACAGGAUUAGAUACCCUGGUAGUCCACGCCGUAAACGAUGACUACUAGGUGUCGGG
rnacentral:rRNA from 1 species